AUUGAACGCUGGCGGCAGGCCUAACACAUGCAAGUCGAACGGUAACAGGAAACAGCUUGCUGUUUCGCUGACGAGUGGCGGACGGGUGAGUAAUGUCUGGGAAACUGCCUGAUGGAGGGGGAUAACUACUGGAAACGGUAGCUAAUACCGCAUAACGUCGCAAGACCAAAGUGGGGGACCCUCGGGCCUCUUGCCAUCGGAUGUGCCCAGAUGGGAUUAGCUUGUUGGUGGGGUAACGGCUCACCAAGGCGACGAUCCCUAGCUGGUCUGAGAGGAUGACCAGCCACACUGGAACUGAGACACGGUCCAGACUCCUACGGGAGGCAGCAGUGGGAAAUAUUGCACAAUGGGCGCAAGCCUGAUGCAGACGUGCCGCGUGUAUGAAGAAGGCCUUCGGGUUGUAAAGUACUUUCAGCGGGGAGGAAGGGAGUAAAGUUAAUACCGUUGCUCAUUGACGUUACCCGCAGAAGAAGCACCGGCUAACUCCGUG
rnacentral:rRNA from 1 species